rnacentral:lncRNA from 1 species
AGUGUUUAACGGCCGGUCAGGAACCCAACAAUUAGUCCCUUCUCGUCCGAGAGGAAACUCUGUGAGAAGAUGGGACCGUGAGCACUCUCUUUAACAAGGACAUUUCCUUUUCAGCGAAAGCAGCGCUCUGAUUUACCAAGUCUGGCGGACCGCAGCGCUUUAAAGGAAUGAGGUUCCAGCGGUCGCGCCAAGCAGCGUACGCAGCCUAUUUUAAGUUAUGCUACCUUCGCCACAGAAACCAAGAACGUUGUAAUGGUCCGGCAAGUGCCCACGUAUAAUUGUUCUCCAUCACUUACCCACUCUAGUUCGGGAACACCCUUGUCGCCGCCGUUCCGGUAACACCUCUCCAACGCUUUCGAUGCUUCUACUUCUUCGGGAACAAGACAAGAUGGCGCCCGAUUUGUCUCACCCGGAAGUAAAGAAUAAUAACAUCCGUUUGUCAUCUGAAGCCAUACCAUCUCUCAUCCAGGUUUGUGAACACGUGAUUGUGCGGAUUGACAUGUUUCGGCGCCAUUUUUUUUGUGGGCAAAACCAUCUCUACUCUGGUCAACACCGGGCAACUGAACCAUUCCUGCACGUUACUUUUUAACGUAGCUGGCGCCAUUCCCGACCCAUCUUUAUAGUGGCCAGAAAGCCAAGAACGUAAGUGUUCUACACAUAGGGCGCCUUCAAAUUUUUUACUUUAGCAACGUGAUCUUCCUUUAAGGGGAAGUAUGUUCCCUCCUAGAAACACUCCCGCCUUGGAGAAGGGGUUGAGUUCGCAACUCCACUUACAGACUACGGAGGAACCCCAGGGUCAAACCAAACCAAACCAAUUCUGGCCAGUUGCUUAGCGCAGUUCAAGUUACUUAGUGCGCUGGAAGCGGCAUUUCAGGCAAUCCAACUUCUGGCUCGAACCUUCUCGGAGUAUUCCAAGGAUGGAAUACUCUCACUUGAGCGCUGCCGAGGGUGCCGCUUGAGGAAAACGUGAGUUUGUGAAGAAUGUUUGUUGCAGAUACAGUUCCACCACUGUACAUUAAGUAUGUGGAAAACAGAAGAUAUCCUUUUGGUUCCUGGGUCUCCAGAACAGUAGGAGCAAACAUCCAAAUCUGAUAUAGCACUUCCAGAGAGCCUGGUCUUGGAGGAUAAAACUUUACCUUGAUGGGACUUUUGGCCCCGGUCCCUUAAGAGUUGGGAUUUGGGGUUGUACUGCAGCACAACUCAGCCUAUCCUAAUACAUAUGGGAAUGCAAACAUCUCAGAUAUUUCUUCUUGGGUGCAAUUUAAAAUACGUAUGAAAUGGCUUCAGAAGUGUCCAUGAACCUUCAAAAUUACAUACAAGAAUUAGGGAGAUACAUUUUUCUGGGAACAUACAGAUGUUAAGACUUCCCUUCUCCGUCUCUAUAUUGCCAGAAGAGAGGGCCCCAGAAUUAAAACCCCAUCCUUCCUACAACACUCAGCUUUCUCUUUCAGGAAUAUCAGUACUAAUAUCACCAUGCCUUUUAUCUCUAGGAUAUCUUCAUCCCCUGUACCUUAAUUUCUGCAUGACUUCAUAGGGAGUCCAUAUUGCUUGAUUUUUCUCCAUAUCAUUACCAUUGACAUAAAUUUUCCUUACAUUCUUAGAAUGUGUAUUUCCUCACCUUUUAGAUUUCUGGCUCUUAUG